CGCUGGGAGAGGAGGUGCACCACCGCGAUCUUCUUGGCGCGGCGCCAGUGGUCCCCGUACGGCGAGAAGGAGAUGUUGCGGGAGCCAUACGUCUGCUUGUGAGCCGCCGCGUUGUGUGGGCGGGAGGAGAAUGCAAGGUCGUGGUUGCGGAACAGGUCCGCGGCCGCCGCGGCCGUGGAGACGACCAGUGUCCGCCGGCGCCCGAGAUGCAGGAGGAGAAGGCCACCGUCGCCGCCAUAUCGGAGUUGCAGCUCGUGCAGGGACCGGUGCGGGAGGCGGCCGAUGAGAUGGAGGUGACCGACCAGUGGCAGAGACACGGGCGACGGCGGGAGUUUGCUCUUGCUCGACCGGUUCUUGACGAUGUAGAGGAAGCCGAGAAGCAAGGCAGCGCCGGCGCCGGCGAGCACGAAAGCAGACAUAUCUUCACCUCACUCUGCCGGCUA
rnacentral:misc_RNA from 1 species